GACGAACGCUGGCGGCGUGCUUAACACAUGCAAGUCGAGCGGUAAGGCCUCUUCGGGGGUACACGAGUGGCGAACGGGUGAGUAACACGUGGGUGACCUGCCCUCAGCUCUGGGAUAAGCCUGGGAAACUGGGUCUAAUACCGGAUAUGACCUUUCCUCGCAUGGGGGUUGGUGGAAAGUUUUUUCGGCUGGGGAUGGGCCCGCGGCCUAUCAGCUUGUUGGUGGGGUGAUGGCCUACCAAGGCGACGACGGGUAGCCGGCCUGAGAGGGCGACCGGCCACACUGGGACUGAGACACGGCCCAGACUCCUACGGGAGGCAGCAGUGGGGAAUAUUGCGCAAUGGGCGGAAGCCUGACGCAGCGACGCCGCGUGGGGGAUGACGGCCUUCGGGUUGUAAACCUCUUUCGACCCCGACGAAUUUGGACGGUAGGGGUAGAAGAAGCACCGGCCAACUACGUG
rnacentral:rRNA from 1 species